AAAAUACACGAUUUUGUCGGGAGUUGGAUAAAGCUGAGGAAACAAAAAGAUGAUAGCAACUCAGAGUCUCUCCUCCUCCGUUCUACUGCCGUUGCUUUGCCUUACACCGCCGGUCCACCGCCGCGUCGCUCGUUCUCAACUUUCCGAUAUUGAGUUCUCGUCGAAACUUCCGUCAAUUACUUCCCUUUCUUCUCACAAAUUUUGCAAACGUACAAGGACUAGUACAGUUCGUGGAAUCAAUUCCAAUGACCCAAAAGAGUCGGCCUUCUUCAACGAAAACGGAGUGGUUGAAGAUAUGGAUAGCUAUCUCAAUUAUCUUUCCCUAGAGUAUGAUUCUGUAUGGGACACCAAACCCUCCUGGUGUCAACCUUGGACAAUAACUCUUACUGGAACAGUGAUAAUUAGCUUGAGCUGGCUGAUUCUGCACUCGGCUGUAGCCACUGCAGUAGUGACGACUACAAUUGCAGCAUGGUGGUACAUAUUUCUUUAUUCUUACCCUAAGGCAUAUUCAGAUAUGAUUGAGGAGAGAAGAAAGAGGGUGACAAACGGUCUAGAAGAUACAUAUGGAGAUAGGAAAAGGCAGUAACAGAAGGAGCAGGAACAACACUGCGUGCAUACCCCGAGGUGACGUAGAUUCAUAUCACAAUGUUUGCAUUUUAAAACUGCGAGUCUAAGGACCCAAUAGAGUGAUCAAUGUAGCUCAACUUUCUGCGCUUGCUGUAAAUGUCAAACCCCCAGAGAACUCUUCAUAUGAAUGAAAACAACACAUUCUAUUCAUAUAUUUUAACUUAUCUUACAUUAAUAAAUGCUUACCCUCAGUAUUCUGGAGGAAUGGCACCAUCUAGUUUCUCACAUAUAAAAAAAUAAAAUACAGUAGCCAGUUUUUUGUAACUUGAUAACGCAAUAUCUUCUGGCAUCAAUUUCCAGAUAACUGCACUAUUUCAUAAACACACAGGACUCAUUGCCAUAUUUUACACGCCAAAUUACACAAUGUAACUUAAUGCAAGCGAACAUCCUUGGGCAAAAACAUAGAAAGAAGAAUAAGGGUGCAACUGAAAGGAUGACUCUUUCUAUUACAUUCAACUCAAUCUACCAGAUAAAGGACCACUUUGCUGCCACAUUUGAGGAUAUUCUUUAGUCUUGGACCCAGACCCUCACUGUCCUGUCGUUAUCUAGUCCAGCUGAGAGAAUCAUGUUUUCUAUGGGGUGGCAACACACUGAAAUGACGGUAUCAGUAUGCCCUUCAAAUUUCUGCAGCAAGUUUUUCCCUUGCAAAUCCCAUACGUAGACACAUUGAUCUUCUGAGCCACUCACUAUAUACUUCCCAUUUGUGACUGAAAACGUGGAAGUUAUGCAGUACACUCUGUUCACAUGGCCUGCGUAGCUUUUUAUGAAUUUUCCAGUAGAAUAAUUCCAUAGCUUAAGAGUAUUAUCUAGGGUGGCAACAAGAAUAAACUUGCCAUUAGGUGAAAACUUGGCAAAGGAAACUGCAGGAACCUUAUCAUCAAUAAGAGUCUUGAGGCAAGCUCCGGAAGCCAUAUCCCAUAUCUUACAAGACCCAUCAUGACUACCCGAAACAAUCAAAGACCCAUCUUUGUUGAAAUGAACCGAAGUAACUGGCAUCGAAUGUGCCUUAAUCGCGUGGAUUGGCUUGCCCGUUUUCACAUCCCAGACCCGAAAAGUCUCAUCAAACGAACCUGAAACUAUGAGAUUGGACUGAGGAUUGAAA
rnacentral:misc_RNA from 1 species